UACGUAGGGUGCAAGCGUUGUCCGGAAUUAUUGGGCGUAAAGAGCUCGUAGGCGGUUUGUUGCGUCGGCUGUGAAAUCCCGAGGCUCAACCUCGGGCUCGCGAGUCGAUACGAGCAAACUAGAGUGUUGCAGGGAGACUGGAAUUCCUGGUGUAGCGGUGGAAAUGACGCAGAUAUCAGGAGGAACACCGGUGGCGAAGGCGGGUCUCUGGGCCGUAACUGACGCUGGAGGAGCGAAAGCGUGGGGAGCGAACAGG
rnacentral:rRNA from 1 species